UUCGGUGGCUAUGGCGGUGGGGUCACACCUCUUCCCAUCCCGAACAGAGAAGUUAAGCUCACCAGCGCCGAUGGUACUGCACGGGUAACCGUGUGGGAGAGUAGGUCGCCGCCGAAU
rnacentral:rRNA from 1 species